rnacentral:rRNA from 1 species
AUUGAACGCUGGCGGUAGGCCUAACACAUGCAAGUCGAACGGCAGCACAGUAAGAGCUUGCUCUUACGGGUGGCGAGUGGCGGACGGGUGAGGAAUACAUCGGAAUCUACUUUUUCGUGGGGGAUAACGUAGGGAAACUUACGCUAAUACCGCAUACGACCUACGGGUGAAAGCAGGGGAUCUUCGGACCUUGCGCGAUUGAAUGAGCCGAUGUCGGAUUAGCUAGUUGGCGGGGUAAAGGCCCACCAAGGCGACGAUCCGUAGCUGGUCUGAGAGGAUGAUCAGCCACACUGGAACUGAGACGCGGUCCAGACUCCUACGGGAGGCAGCAGUGGGGAAUAUUGGACAAUGGGCGCAAGCCUGAUCCAGCCAUACCGCGUGGGUGAAGAAGGCCUUCGGGUUGUAAAGCCCUUUUGUUGGGAAAGAAAAGCAGCAGGUUAAUACCCCGCUGUUCUGACGGUACCCAAAGAAUAAGCACCGGCUAACUUCGUG